UACGGAAGGGGCAAGCGUUGUUCGGAAUCAUUGGGCGUAAAGGGCGCGUAGGUGGUUCUGUAUGUCUACCGUGAAAGCAUACAGCUCAACUGUAUUUUGUCGGUAGAAACUGCAGGACUUGAGGCUGGGAGGGGCUGGUGGAAUUCCCUGUGUAGCGGUGAAAUGCGUAGAGAUGGGGGAGAACACUCGUGGCGAAGGCGGCCAGCUAGACCAGUUCUGACACUGAGAGACGAAAGCUAGGGGAGCGAAUGGG
rnacentral:rRNA from 1 species